rnacentral:rRNA from 1 species
ACCGGCGCACGGGUGCGUAACGCGUAUAGACCUACCUUUUACAGAGGAAUAGCCUUUAGAAAUGAAGAUUAAUGCCUCAUAGUUUCGCAUGAAUAAAGAUUUAUCGGUAAAAGAUGGCUAUGCGUCCUAUUAGUUAGUUGGUAAGGUAACGGCUUACCAAGACAGCGAUAGGUAGGGGUCCUGAGAGGGAGAUCCCCCACACUGGUACUGAGACACGGACCAGACUCCUACGGGAGGCAGCAGUGAGGAAUAUUGGACAAUGGAGGAGACUCUGAUCCAGCCAUGCCGCGUGUAGGAAGAAUGCCUAUGGGUUGUAAACUACUUUUAUACAGGAAGAAACACUGGUAUGUAUACCAGCUUGACGGUACUGUAAGAAUAAGGACCGGCUAACUCCGUGCCAGCAGCCGCGGUAAUACGGAGGGUCCGAGCGUUAUCCGGAAUCAUUGGGUUUAAAGGGUCCGCAGGCGGUCGAUUAAGUCAGAGGUGAAAUCCCAUAGCUCAACUAUGGAACUGCCUUUGAUACUGGUUGACUUGAGUCAUAUGGAAGUAGAUAGAAUGCGUAGUGUAGCGGUGAAAUGCAUAGAUAUUACACAGAAUACCGAUUGCGAAGGCAGUCUACUACGUAUGUACUGACGCUGAGGGACGAAAGCGUGGGGAGCGAACAGGAUUAGAUACCCUGGUAGUCCACGCCGA